rnacentral:rRNA from 1 species
GACGAACGCUGGCGGCGUGCUUAACACAUGCAAGUCGAACGGUAAGGCCCUUCGGGUACGACGAGUGGCGGAACGGGUGGAGUAACACGUGGGUGAUCUGCCCUGCACUUCGGGAUAAGCUUGGGAAACUGGGUCUAAUACCGGAUAGGACCACGGUCUGCAUGGAUUGUGGUGGAAAGCUUUUGCGGUGUGGGAUGGGCCCGCGGCCUAUCAGCUUGUUGGUGGGGUGAUGGCCUACCAAGGCGACGACGGGUAGCCGGCCUGAGAGGGUGUCCGGCCACACUGGGACUGAGAUACGGCCCAGACUCCUACGGGAGGCAGCAGUGGGGGAAUAUUGCACAAUGGGCGCAAGCCUGAUGCAGCGACGCCGCGUGGGGGGAUGACGGCCUUCGGGUUGUAAACCUCUUUCAGCAGGGACGAAGGGUGACUGACGGUACCUGUAGAAGAAGCACCGGCCAACUACGUGCCAGCAGCCGCGGUAAU